CUUUAGCCCCGAUAGCAACGACAUCCUUUUAUGCUGGUGUUCAGCAUAAAAGAUAUAGUGGAUAGCGGGAACGUUG
rfam:Flavobacterium sp. LM5 Flavobacterium_sp_LM5_contig3, whole genome shotgun sequence.